UAAAAUGGGGAAAUAUAUUUUUUAAGCAGUAACCCCAAACCCAAUUGUCAAAUAAAAGUAGCAAGCAGCUGUGCCCAUACGUGUUUUUAUUUAUUAAUAUCUCGAUAAUGUGCGAAUAACACACGAAAAUUAAAUGUGAAACGUGAAAUCAACAUGUCGAGCCGUCGUUCGAUACUCGGAUCGGCGCUUGACGCUUUACCCCCGCCCACGGAUCCUCUACGCGAAUUAUUUGAGGCAUGUAAAACUGGCGAUGCCGUGAGGGUAAAAAAGUUAAUUACUCCCCAAACGGUGAAUGCCAGGGACACUGCUGGACGUAAAUCGACUCCUCUACACUUCGCUGCAGGAUACGGUCGCAGGGAAGUAGUGGAGAUCCUAAUAGCAGCCGGGGCGGCGCUCCAGGCCCGCGACGACGGAGGCCUACAACCCCUACACAAUGCCUGCUCCUUCGGCCACGCUGACGUGGUGAGAGCGCUACUGAGCGCGGGGGCGGCGCCCGCGGCGAGAGACAACUGGGGCUACACGCCGCUGCAUGAGGCUGCUGCUAAGGGGAAGGUCGAUGUUUGCAUAGCGUUGCUGCAACACGGCGCGGACCCGAACAUUCGCAACACGGAAGGCAAGACGCCGCUCGAUCUAGCCGACUCCGCUACCAGGCCUGUGUUGACAGGUGAAUACUGCGCAGCGGAUGUCCUAGAAGCGGCUAGAUCUGGCGCAGAUGAUCGCCUAGCUUCCCUCCUCACUCCUCUCAACGUUAACGUGCACGCGAGCGACGGUAGACGGUCUACUCCCCUUCAUUUGGCGGCCGGAUAUAAUAGGGCGAGAGCUGUGAGGUUGCUGCUGCAGAGAGGCGCCGAUGUCCAUGCUAAGGAUAAAGGAGGCCUUGUACCACUUCACAACGCGUGUUCGUACGGUCACUAUGAAGUGACGGAACUGCUCGUACGUGCAGGCGCGGACGUUAACGCGACUGAUCUGUGGGCUUUCACGCCGCUACAUGAGGCGGCCAGCAAGGCAAGGCUAGAGGUAUGCUCCCUGCUCUUAAGCGAGGGCGCAGACCCGACGCUGCUGAACUGUCACGGCAAGUGUGCGCUCGACGUAGCGCCCACACGCGAGCUGCAGGAGAGAUUGGCUUUCGAAUACCGAGGACAUUGUCUACUAGAAGCAUGCAGACUAGCGGAACCGGCGAGGGUCAAGAAACAACUGUCAGCCGUCUCAGGACAUCAACAUCAGAGUUCCCAAGCUUCCACCAGCGGCAGCACCCCUUCCCUCCCCGGAGAGUGCAGCGUGGAAGCCCUCGUCAACUUCCAGCACAUAGCCACAGGGGACAGACCCCUGCACUGUGCCGCCAACAGCGUCUACCCUAAGCGGAAGCAGGUAAUGGAGAUGCUAAUAAGAAAAGGCGCCCGCGUCAACGAGAAGAACAAAGACGGACAAACACCUUUACACGUCGCUACUGAGCAUGCGCACUUAGAUGCUAUGGAUCUAUUGUUGAGGCAUGGCGCUAAAGUGAACGCCUGCGACGGUCGCGGCAGCAGCGCUCUAGCCGUUGCCGCUCGCCGCGACUCCGCCGCCGCCUGCCGCCUGCUGCUCGCUUGCGGCGCCGACACCACGCCCGACGCGCUGUAUCCGCAGCCCGACGACGCCUGUGCAAACGCGGCAGCUCUUAGGCUACUCGAAGCCGCUCGUACGGGCGACGUGGAGAACGCGCGGAGUAUACUAGACGCAAGGCCAAGACUCGUCAAUUGUCGAGACGUUGACGGACGACAUUCGACGCCGCUGCAUUUUGCUGCUGGCUACAAUCGCUUGCCACUCGCUCAAUUACUUUUACAAAGAGGCGCCGAUGUCCACGCCAAGGACAAAGGAGGCCUAGUCCCCCUACACAAUGCGUGUUCCUACGGCCACUACGAGCUAACAGAGCUGCUAGUAUCAGCCGGGGCCGGUGUCAAUGCGGCUGAUCUCUGGCGCUUCACACCGCUACACGAAGCGGCCGCAAAAGGCAAGGCUGAUAUCGUACGGUUAUUGUUAAAGCACGGAGCUGACCCUACCCGACGUAACAGAGAUGGUCUAACUCCCCUACAACUAGUGAGAGCGGGAGACAGCGACACAGCCGACGCGCUGAGAGGUGAUGCUGCGCUACUUGAUGCUGCCAAACGAGGGGAUCUCGCUAGAGCCAGGAAACUAAUAACUCCUCAAAACGUGAACUGCAGAGAUUCUCACGGACGAAACUCUACGCCUUUACAUCUCGCUGCCGGCUACAACAACCUCGAAGUAGCGGAAGCUCUCCUAGAAGCCGGCGCCGCAGUGUCCGCCCGCGAUAAAGGCGGGCUCGUACCUCUACACAACGCGGCUUCGUACGGACAUGUAGAACUAGCGGCGUUGUUACUGAGAGCGGGUACUCCGCCGAAUGCUGCUGAUCGCUGGGGCUUCACGCCGCUGCAUGAGGCGGCGCAUAAGGCGAGGACGCAGCUCUGUGCCUUGCUUCUCGCACACGGCGCAGACCCCUACCUCAAAAACCAAGAGGGUCAAACAGCCUUAGAUCUCGCGGGGGCGGAAGAUGUUCGCUCCCUCCUACAGGACGCGAUGACGUCAGCGGCGGGGGAGGUGGCCGCCCCCGCGCCCCUCCCGCCGCCCCUGCCGCCGCCCCACCAUCCCGUGCUCAUGCCGAGUGGGGAUACAGUGCCUCUAGCGCUGCCGGUGGUACCCUCGAACUACUGGGCGGAAGGUUCUCGCGGCAGCUUAGAAGACGCGGCGGGUAGACCGGCGUCUGCUCUCUCCACGUCGGAGUCACUACAAACGUUCCUAUCCAGCAUCGGCCUCGAACAGCUAACGACAGUACUCGAACGCGAACAGAUCACCGUCGACAUACUCUCGGAGAUGUCGCACGAGGACCUCCGCGCUGUCGGCGUCGCCGCCUACGGACACCGACACCGACUGCUCAAAGCCGCCCGGCACAGCCUGCAGGCGGCCUCAGAAUGGUACGGCGGUACCACCCUCGUAGAAGUAGCUCCCCCCACGGAGGGAGAAUGCGCUGACAGCGAGUACACAAUCGUCGAGAGAGAGAUGCAGGCUUCCGUGCGAGCACACAGGGACCAUGCCGGUGGUACCUUUACGCACUAUAAUGUUGUUAGGAUACAAAAGCUAGUGAACGGUCGUCUGUGGGAGCGGUACCAGCACCGGCGCCGCGAGGUGACGGAGGAGGCGGGCGCGCACAACGAGAGGAUGCUGUUCCACGGCAGCCCGUUCAUCAACGCCAUCGUGCAGAAGGGCUUCGACGAGCGACACGCUUAUAUCGGCGGCAUGUUCGGCGCCGGCAUCUACUUCGCGGAGCACUCGUCCAAGAGCAACCAGUACGUGUACGGCUUCGGCGGCGGCUCCGGCUGUCCCGCCCACAAGGACAGGAGCUGCUAUCUGUGCCACAGACAAAUGCUGCUAUGCCGCGUGACCCUCGGCCGCGCCUUCCAACUGCUGAGCGCGAUGAAGAUGGCGCACGCGCCCCCGGGACACCACUCGGUGGCCGGCAGGCCCUCGCAGGGGGGGCUGUGCUUCCCCGAGUACGUCGUCUAUAGGGGGGAACAGGCGUACCCAGAAUACCUGAUCACCUAUCAGAUUGUGAGCGGGGAACCGAACUCAGGUACCGUGUGAAAGUGACCAACAGUGCUCAGUGCGUUGUGUGGACUCUGCGGCAUAUCGACUGAUACUAGCCGAUAAUCGUCAUUACCGUUACGAUAAUCGUCAUUACCGUUACGAUAAUCGUCAUUACCGUUACGAUAACCGUCAUUACCGUUACGAUAAUUCUUUACCGUUACGAUAACCGUCAUUACCGUUACGAUAAUCGUCAUUACCGUUACGAUUACCGUCAUUACCGUUACGUUAAUCGUCAUUACCGUUACUAUUACAAGCGUAAUUAUAGUUGCGAUUACAUACGGUAAUAAAUAUGGAUAUGAAUAUGAAAAUGAACUUUACUAUCGUUAUGAUUGCUAUGGUAGUAAACGUUAUUACCGUUACGAUUAAAUACGGAAAUAACACUAAUUAUCGGUACGAUUACAAUCGGUAAUAAAUGUAAUUAUUAUCACGGUUACCGUUUACGAUUACAUACGGUAAGAACUGUAAUGAUCAUUAGGAUUACCGUUUACAGUAACAUGCUAUAAUAGCAGUAAUUAUCGUUGCGAUUACGGGUGCUUACAUAAAGAAACAGGUUGUAACUUACCUGUUUCUUUAUAAGUGAGUCAAUAGGAUUGUAUUGAAAUAUUAUACCUGCACUGAUCGGUACCUACCCGUACAGGUUUGUCUGUACCGGCAACCUGUUUCUUUAUGUAAGCACCCUACCGUCCGAAAUAGUGUGUAAUCAUAACGAUAAUUGUCGGCUUUAGCAACGAUGGUAAUGAUUAUAAUUACCGUGAUAAUAAUGAGGUUAUUUUCAAUGCUGAAUGAAGAUUUUUGCCAAUAAAUACUGCGGUAUCCUUUAUGAUAGUUUUCGGCUCCUAACAGUGAUAAUUAUAACAGUUAUCCUGAUACGAUAGUUAUAGUAUAAUCAUCGGCAAGGAUAUUGAGCCCUGACCUGAGCGCAGAAGUGAUUUAUUGGUUUAUUGCCUUUAGUGUACGAUGCACAAAGCGAUCCCCACUCUUCCGCCGAGAGCUCAAUAUCCGUGCCGAUAACUAUAACGAUCUGUAAUGAAGUUGCUACAGUGGUUAUCGUAACGAUUUUAUUAUUAAAGUGUUAUUUCGUAACGGUAAUGUAAUGGUAAUGAUGUAACCUUUAAGAUAGAAAUGACAUGUGAAUUUUUGUAUUAUUGUUUUUUAAUUAUUUCUUUGUAUUCAAACUUAUGUUUGACUGACAUUAAGCUUUAAAAGAGGCUGCUUAUUUUUUUAAUUUUAAAUUGGUUUCAGUCGUUUUUGAGAUGAUCGCUAUUUUGAAUUUAAUAGACUGACAGACAGUGGUGGAUUUCGUUUUAUGAUUAAACUAGCCGUGUCUCGCGGUUUUAUUCGGGUACUGUGGGAAAUGCUAUGCGCACCUGGAUAAAAAUAUUGCUGGGCUGUUACUUGUACCCGCUACUCUCAGAAACUACUAGACUGAUGUGUAAAAAUAUUUCAGUAUUAGAUAGUCCAUUUAUCGAGGGAGGCUAUAGACUUUAGCCAGGUGCGCGGAGUAGUUCCUACGGAAUGGGGGUGGUUAGUAUUAUGUAUAAAGAUUCACAUGUCAUUUUAUUUCAAAUUACAAUUACAAAACUUGACUUUGUGUCAAAAAUAUUUUUGCUGAAAUAAAAUGUGAGUGGAUAUAUAAAUAAACACAUACAUAAAUAUAAUAUUCUUCUUUGUAUAUAAACGGAAAAUUUUCAAUAGUAGUUUUUUAGAAUUUUAACCGCUUUUUUUAAGGAAAAAUUGGGUGACACGGCUGUUACCCGACUGCCAACAAGAGUUAUUGCUAUUAACUUUUAACGGAGGCUUUUGUAGUCAGAAGCUAGUAAGUCUGACAUACAUGUAUGCAACCCGGAACAAUAAAAAGUCUGAUGAUGAUGAACACAAAAAAAAAACUGAGCUGAAAAGAUUUGAAAAAUCAUGAUAGACCGUGAUAUCACCUUGUCACCUAAUAUUUUCAACUUAAAAACGGUUUAAUCAGUAGUAUGAUUAAAUAAAGUAUUGUAAUUUUUGAAAAACAAAAAUUCAUAGCUGUGGAAUUGACAUCAACGAUAUAAAACACUUAUUUCUAACGAAUUUCAAAACUAAUUUUAUUUGUCUUAAAUUGGUGGGUCCCGGCUGUCAUUAGAAUAUCUUUGGCAGUCGUUACGGGUAGUCAGAAGCCAGAAAGUCUGACAACCAAUCUUACCAAGGGGUAUUGUGUCUUCCAAUAUCAGCAUUUAUUUAUGGGAAGUAAUGGGGAAAAAACUGUAGUAGCUACCUUGAUGUCAAUUUCUCAGCUAUAUAAAAACUGACUUUGGAUAAUAAUGUUCUAAUAAUAAUAAUAUUACCGCCUCUGACUGUUAGUAAUUUGUAUAUUCAAGAAAUAUUCCAGAUAGACUGGAAUUUCAAUCCGAGAAAUCUGACAACCAAUCUUACCAUGGGGUAUUGGGUUGCCCGGAUAACUGGGUUGAGGAGGUCAGAUAGGCAGUCGCUCCUUUUAAAACACUGGUACUCAGCUGCAUCCGGUUCUAAACUAAGAUCAUAUAGUUUUUAUUGACAUUUUAACUAAUAUACGUAAUUUUCAUGACAUAUAAAUAACUAGCUGAUUUCCCGCGGUUUCACCCGCGUCCCGUGAGAACUACUGCCCGUAACGGGAUAAAAUAUAGCCUAUGUUACUCGGGAAGAGUGUAGCUUUCUAACAGUGAAAGAAUUUUGAAAUUCAGUUACUACUGAGUUUCGGACUCUUUACAAACAAACAGAAAUGUUUUAUUAUUGUAUAAAUUAAUACUGAAUAAAAAACCCAAAAGUUCACCAGUUUUAAGUAAAAAACUUUAGCUUAUAAGAAAAAUAAUCUAUUUUAAUAAUAGUAGAGACAAAACAAAUAAAUAUAUCAAUGUGCCUUCCGUGUGAAAGUUUACAGCCUUACUACAAACACUUAAACAUCUGUUGAACACUUGUCUAAAAAAAAUUUGCCUGCAUAACGGACCAUGUGUAAUUUUUUAGACAAGUGUUCAACAAACGUUUAAAAGUUUUUGUGGUACGACGGUUCAAGUUUACGUAUGACUAUCCAAUUUAAUUUGAAAAGUUUAACUUUUAUAUAGUUAACUGUGCGAUAUAAAAUUAUUUUUAACCUGUCUUAGAGCAUACUGCAAACUUUUAGUCUGCCGAUACUUUGUUUGGGCUCAUAAAUCAGUAUGAAGAUGAAUGGUAGUACGCACAUUACAAAGAUCAGGUAUUUACCAAAAAGCAGUUCAACUGUCGGCCGACUGUUUAGUCUUCAGUGUGCGGGUAGGCUUAGUAAUUACAAAAUUGAUUAUGACAUGCUUUUUUUAAUAUUUAAAUGAACAAUUUGUGCUAUUUACUUAAUAGUUUUUUUUAUGUAAUAAUGAUCAGAGAGAAUAUAAUAUAGUGGCAAAGUAAAGCGGAGCGGAGAUUAAAUAGUUAUAGGUACAAUAAUAUACCUAAAUCCUUCUCCUAACUGUAAUAAAUACUAUGCUGAAAACCACAUCAGAAUCGGUCUAUCUACACGUGAGGUAAUUGCUCACAGACAUACUUACAGGUCAAAUAGAACCUUCUUUUUUUGAUGUCGGUAAAAAGUCCCCGCUCUACUUUGGUGCAGUCACAUUAAAAAUAUCGCACAGAAAAACUCUAGAUGCAUGAAACAAAAACUAUAAUUCGUAAUAAUUUAGUAUUUUUUUUUAAUAAAUAAUAUUAAAAAUAUUUUUAAUAGAUUUUAUAAUCGAAGCAUUUUGUGUAUUAACAAAACUAGCUUUUAGUUUUUAGAUUUUGUUGAAUUUUUUUAUAAUAAUGCAUUUUGAUUUUAGAUGGCAACACUGACAAUUGUUAACUUUAUAAUCUGUUCAGCAAUAAAAAAAAAUCUUAGAUUUUUGUCUUAAGCUGUCAUUGAACAUCUUUGGCAGUCGUUACGGGUAGUCAGAAGCCAGUAAGUCUGACACCAGUCUUACCUAGGGGUUUUGGGUUGCCCGGGUAACUGGGUUGAGGAGGUCAGAUAAGCAGUUGCUCCUUGUAAAUCACUGGUACUCAGCUGCAUGCGGUUAGACUGGAAGCCGACCCCAACAUAGUCGGGAAAAGGCUCGGGAGAUGAUGUCUAUACGCUACAAAUUAGGUGCUUUUUAUUCAUAUCAAAAUUUUAAAAUCAAAUUUGUUUUAAAGCCAUCUUAAGUCUUUAUGCUUUAAAUGUAACAUACAUUUUGAAACCACACAAUGCUAUCCUAUUUUGAUAUUUCUCAAACUAUUAUUUUAAUUAAGAAAUUAUAAAAAAAUGACUUCAAUAAUAAACCUUGUCCUGACAAAUAUAAUGCUGAAAACCGCAUCAAAAUCGGCUCAGCCAAACUUAAGAUAAUCGCGCACAAACAUUUAUACAUUUAAGUUGGUCACACUGAGAACCUCCUUUUUUGAAGUCGGUUAAAAUUGAAUUUUAAUGUAAAUGACAGUAAUAUUUUAUUUUUACAAUUUCUAUUAUUAUUUUCUGCAGUCUGUGGUUUCAAUGUGUGUUACCAGUUGUUUAAAUGUACUUAUAAUUUUUUGGCAUGGCAAUAUUUGUUAGCCAUUUAUAUUUUUAUUGUAUCGUUAAAUCAUGCAUCACGGUAUGUAAUAUUAUUAAUUUGUAAUUAUUUCAAUUUUACUAUCAAAAUGUUCUAUAGCAAUUGUAUUUCGAAAAUUUAUAAUUUUAAGCAUUUAUUUCGAUUUUAUUUCGCAAAUAAAUGAUUUUUACAGAUUU
rnacentral:misc_RNA from 1 species